rnacentral:rRNA from 1 species
AGUGUGAAACCCACCUCAAGAUGAGAUUUCCCAUAACUUUAUGUUAGUAAGAGCCCUGAGAGAUGAUCAGGUAGAUAGGUUGGAAGUGGAAGUGUGGCGACACAUGUAGCGGACCAAUACUAAUCGCUCGAGGACUUAUCCAAA